rnacentral:rRNA from 1 species
UCGAACGGCAGCAUAGGUGCUUGCACCUGAUGGCGAGUGGCGAACGGGUGAGUAAUGCAUCGGAACGUGCCCAGUCGUGGGGGAUAACGCAGCGAAAGCUGUGCUAAUACCGCAUACGGUCUAUGGAUGAAAGCGGGGGACCUUCGGGCCUCGCGCGAUUGGAGCGGCCGAUGUUAGAUUAGGUAGUUGGUGGGGUAAAGGCUCACCAAGCCAACGAUCUAUAGCUGGUCUGAGAGGACGACCAGCCACACUGGAACUGAGACACGGUCCAGACUCCUACGGGAGGCAGCAGUGGGGAAUUUUGGACAAUGGGCGAAAGCCUGAUCCAGCAAUACCGCGUGCAGGAAGAAGGCCCUCGGGUUGUAAACUGCUUUUGUACGGAACGAAACGGCGCGCUCUAAUAAAGUGCGCUAAUGACGGUACCGUAAGAAUAAGCACCGGCUAACUACGUGCCAGCAGCCGCGGUAAUACGUAGGGUGCGAGCGUUAAUCGGAAUUACUGGGCGUAAAGCGUGCGCAGGCGGUUUUGUAAGACAGGCGUGAAAUCCCCGGGCUCAACCUGGGAAUUGCGCUUGUGACUGCAAGGCUAGAGUACGGUAGAGGGGGGUAGAAUUCCGCGUGUAGCAGUGAAAUGCGUAGAUAUGCGGAGGAACACCGAUGGCGAAGGCAGCCCCCUGGACCUGUACUGACGCUCAUGCACGAAAGCGUGGGGAGCAAACAGGAUUAGAUACCCUGGUAG